CCCCUCUCAGGAUCGCACCUGGAGAGUUUCCUGUACUCUACCAGUGCCGGCUAUGGGAGGGAGAGGCAAGCAGAGGCUUACUCAUUCCAUUCCUAGCUUGGGCAGAAGCUAGUGAGUGGAAGGCAAUUUUGCUACAAGU